GUGAGGAAUUUUCCGCAAUGGGCGAAAGCCUGACGGAGCAAUGCCGCGUGAAGGAUGAAGGCCUAUGGGUUGUAAACUUCUUUUCUCAGAAAAGAAUUAUGACGGUAUCUGAGGAAUAAGCAUCGGCUAACUCUGUGCCAGCAGCCGCGGUAAGACAGAGGAUGCAAGCGUUAUCCGGAAUGAUUGGGCGUAAAGCGGCUGUAGGUUGUUUAAAAAGUAUUCUGUCAAAGAUUAGGGCUUAACCCUAGAUAGGCAGAAUAAACUUUUAAGCUAGAGUUUGGUAGAGGCAGAGGGAAUUCCCGGUGGAGCGGUGAAAUGCGUAGAUAUCGGGAGGAACACCAAAGGCGAAGGCACUCUGCUGGGCCAAUACUAACACUGAGAGACGAAAGCGAGGGGAGCAAAUGGGAUUAGAAACCCUGGUAGUCC
rnacentral:rRNA from 1 species